rnacentral:rRNA from 1 species
AACGAACGCUGGCGGCGUGCUUAACACAUGCAAGUCGAACGGAAAGGCCUCUUUCGGGGGGUACUCGAGUGGCGAACGGGUGAGUAACACGUGAGUAACCUGCCCUUGACUUUGGGAUAACUUCAGGAAACUGGGGCUAAUACCGGAUAGGAGCUCCUGCUGCAUGGUGGGGGUUGGAAAGUUUCGGCGGUUGGGGAUGGACUCGCGGCUUAUCAGCUUGUUGGUGGGGUAGUGGCUUACCAAGGCUUUGACGGGUAGCCGGCCUGAGAGGGUGACCGGCCACAUUGGGACUGAGAUACGGCCCAGACUCCUACGGGAGGCAGCAGUGGGGAAUAUUGCACAAUGGGUGGAAGCCUGAUGCAGCAACGCCGUGUGCGGGAUGACGGCCUUCGGGUUGUAAACCGCUUUCGCUCAUGACGAAGCUUUGUGUGACGGUAGUGGGUAAAGAAGCACCGGCUAACUACGUG